rnacentral:rRNA from 1 species
CCUACGGGGGGCAGAAGUGGGGAAUAUUGCACAAUGGGCGCAAGCCUGAUGCAGCCAUGCCGCGUGUAUGAAGAAGGCCUUCGGGUUGUAAAGUACUUUCAGUCGUGAGGAAGGUGUUAAGGUUAAUAACCUUAGCAAUUGACGUUAGCGACAGAAGAAGCACCGGCUAACUCCGUGCCAGCAGCCGCGGUAAUACGGAGGGUGCGAGCGUUAAUCGGAAUUACUGGGCGUAAAGGGCACGCAGGCGGUUAAUAAAGUAAGACGAGGAGUCGCCGGGCGUAACAUGGGAAAGGAUUUCAGGAAUGGUGUGCUAGGGUGGUGUGGAGGGGGGUAGGAGUACAUGUGUAGCGGUGCAAUGGGUAGCAAUGUGAAGUAAUAGCGUGAGCGAGAGCUGCACAAUGGACAAAAGAUGAAGAACAUGUGAGACAGCGUGGAAGGAAAGCUUGAUUAAACAACCGCGAAGGC